rnacentral:miRNA from 1 species
UCUUUUUGCUUCUUUCU